GGGGAUAUAGCUCAGUUGGUAGAGUGCUUGCCUUCCAUGCCUAAGGUCCCGGGUUCAGUUCCCAGCACCACCA
rnacentral:tRNA from 1 species